ensembl:lncRNA
UACAGAACCACAGCAGCAAAGCCACUGCCUUCCCCGUUGCUACACAGGAGAAUUUGUGCAGACUCGGGGGUCCCUGGGAAGAUGUCACACUAAGGACACAGCUCUGGGCUGGCACUGAGGUUCUGUCUACAAUGGAUUAUGUGAACAUCCAGGCUUUACUUUGCUCGUGAGUCCAUUUGGGAAAGGUAAAAUCAGGAACAGUAACUUUGGGACAGCCUGUGUUGGUGAUGGUUUCAGCUUUGACCAAAAGCUACCUGGACUCUAAUCAGCUGCAAAGUGAGAGAGCUGCAGCCAUGUAGAUCCUGCCAGAGCCCUGUGCACUUCAGCCACUUUAUGGCAAUUGGGUUACUGGAAAGUCAAUUUUUUUGCAGUGAGUAAAUUCAUCUCAUCGUGCAGAGGAAACUCAGGGGAGGUCUUUUGUCACAUGGUUAUCCUCUGAUUUAUCAUCCAGGGCUGCCUCUGAGUGACAUCUGGAAUCGCUGUCUGCUUUGGGAAACUCUAAGUUAUAUAGUACUGUGGGCGGCAAAAGGAAGAGAGCUAAUUAUUACUUGUUGGAGUCUUGUCUCAGGUGUGUUGAGGAAUGUGCAAGGCUCACUGCUCUCUGCUGUUGUCAGUUUGAUGCUAUGCUCACAGACAACCACUAGAUCAGCAUGGCUGCAGAAAUAUUUGAGCACAAAAGACAUUUUUCAAACACUACUGUGGGGUGUGGAGGGCACCUGGCUGACUAAAGGGCUAUGGGGCAGGGCUGUCUACAUACGUGAUCACUGUCAAGUUUGCCAGACGUGGCAGAUAACUCCCUCCAUAGACACCCAGGACAUUCCUUUGAAAGUCAGGUAUCUAAGAAGAUGCCCUUGUCUACUAGGAACAGUGGGUGAUAGAGCAAAUGGUCACUGGUGCACCUGGGAGCUCCAUGGCUAUGAAGCUAGGACAGCAGCCUUGUCUCUGGAAGCAGGUAUCAGAGGAUGAACAUAUGAUCGUAUCAUCUUUAGUCUAUUUCCUCAUGCCUCAAUCAUGGACACUUCUGGAACCUCUAAGACAGAGAAACAGCUUUUGGUAUGUUUGGUGUUACCGUUUUCAGGAGAAAACACAGUUGACAGGGAUUUCUCUCUGAGAUCCAGGUGUGGCACACUCAUGUCUGGACUUGUGGGUGAGUGCCUGCAAUUCCCAAGAAACCAGCAUGCCUCAUUCCCACCAGUGCUAUUCUCCAAUUACUUAUGCUAACUUUCUCUUUGCUUCACUGAAAAAAAAAAAAAAAAAAAGCACCUGCAAGACUUUACAAGUGGCUUUAGAAAUACUAAAACCUGGCUCCAAUACUGAUAUACUCCCGAGGGGUCCACUAAAUAGAGUUCAUUCUUAUAUAAUGAUCUUGAAAACUUGGGGAAAAUUUAAUCUUCAGCAAGUACAGAUUUUCCUUGGUUGGGGACAGGGAUUUGGAACCAGCUAUCUUCUCAAGGCAUGGAUGGCACUGUUCAGUUAUGGAACUCCGUAUCUCAAGGAGGAGUGGGCCAAUCAUCAUAAUACCCCCAAAUUCAGGUCCUAACCAACUGAACACAGGGACUAGAAAAGGAACUCAAAGCUCUGGGGAAAUCUUUGGGAGUUUGGUCAAUGGAAUUCCAUUCUGAUUACUCAGUCCCCACAUUCUACACCAGUUGUCCUUAUUCACGGGAGCUCAGGGGGUAUUGAGAGAGCAGAAAGGGUAUGCUUCAUUUUUAAUCUUCCAGUUCACUUGGCUCCUAUUCUUUUCCCCAGUUCUUUAGCUGAUGAGGAGGAGGGAGGCCUAGCUGGACAGAGGGAAACAGUGACCAUCUGUCAUAGGCCACACAUGGCCUCAGGGAAACUGGAAGGAGGUCAGCCGAAGAGAGUGGCUUCAAACCAUGGCUAGCUCAGGAGAGAGAGAUAUGCAUCCAAGCAGUCAUGCUGGGCCCUGACUACAAGAACACCUCACUUAUGAUGGGGGAGGUUACAAUUUAAAUCAUCAGAUAGAUUAGAAGUGUCAUGCUGGGCUCUUUCAAUUUGGAGAGUGCAAUGCUACUUGAAUGUGCUUGCCCUUCAGGCCCCAUUUCCUAACUUGUUCUCAAGAUCACAGGGAAUAGGUUUGGGACCUGAGUCUAUUUCCCUUCUUUCUUUAGUUUUCCGUCUCCCUCCCCACCCCAAAACCUGUCUGGCUUAGGCCUUUAGCAGUCCUCUUGCCUCUGCCUCCCAAGUGCUAAGUCUACAUGCCUGAGCUCUCAAACCCAGCUUCAGUGGCGGUUCUGAGUCCUGUGUCUGCCUUGCUCUGCUCAGCCUGGCUCUUUGACUGAAGGGUAGAGUUGCCCUUACUCCUGGCUGAGUUUCUGGGUGACAACAGUACAAUCCUUUAGCUCUUAAACUCAAUACUGAGUCACAACAAUGAACUCCUAUUAACUGUAGUGGUGCAGCCUACAACCCUCUUGGGGGUUUACUUUGGCGCUGUAGGGAAUCUGGAGGUGAAAGAGAAGGGCAGAAAUGUAUCUAUAGAUAGAGUAAAAGCACAGCAACAACUAAAAAUCAUAGCAGCUGGCUUUCUUGUUUUGUUCUUAGAACCGGUAGACACAUUUACAUACUAGCUAGGCUAUAUUUAUAAAACCUUAGGAGAUGUGGAAGAAAAGGAGUAGUUGUCUCAUCUCCUUUUUGUCUGGACAUCCUGGGGUACCAAGAAACACACCUGAGAAGAACAAACAAAAACAAACAAACAUGUCACCCCUUGCCCCACCUAUUUAAACCCUGAGUGUCACUUUACUGUUAGAUGGGAGUUCUUUGAAAAUUCAUCACCUGAAAAACUUUUUAAACUCUGAAGCCUGGAAUCACACAUAGAUACAGAAAACUGAAUACAAUGAACUUUUCAGGCUUACCGACAAGAACCAUAAGGAAACAUUCUUUCACUGGGCCAGAGAGGGGACGUGACCAUGAUUCAUCAACCCUGCCUCUCUUGUACCCUUUUAAACACAUUUGUUCAGCAAUCAAAAGACUAAAUGUAUGGAGCAACUAGCUU